UACGUAGGGGGCAAGCGUUGUCCGGAUUUAUUGGGCGUAAGGAGCGUGUAGGCGGCUGGGUAGGUCCGUUGUGAAAACUCGAGGCUCAACCUCGAGACGCCGAUGGAAACCCUCCAGCUAGAGUCCGGAAGAGGAGAGUGGAAUUCCUGGUGUAGCGGUGAAAUGCGCAGAUAUCAGGAAGAACACCCGUGGCUAAGGCGGCUCUCUAGUACGGUACUGACGCUGAGACGCGAAAGCGUGGGGAGCGAACAGG
rnacentral:rRNA from 1 species